AGUGAACGCUGGCGGUAGGCCUAACACAUGCAAGUCGAACGGCAACACAGUAAGAGCUUGCUCUUACGGGUGGCGAGUGGCGGACGGGUGAGGAAUACAUCGGAAUCUACUUUUUCGUGGGGGAUAACGUAGGGAAACUUACGCUAAUACCGCAUACGACCUACGGGUGAAAGCAGGGGAUCUUCGGACCUUGCGCGAUUGAAUGAGCCGAUGUCGGAUUAGCUAGUUGGCGGGGUAAAGGCCCACCAAGGCGACGAUCCGUAGCUGGUCUGAGAGGAUGAUCAGCCACACUGGAACUGAGACACGGUCCAGACUCCUACGGGAGGCAGCAGUGGGGAAUAUUGGACAAUGGGCGCAAGCCUGAUCCAGCCAUACCGCGUGGGUGAAGAAGGCCUUCGGGUUGUAAAGCCCUUUUGUUGGGAAAGAAAAGCAGCAGGUUAAUACCCCGCUGUUCUGACGGUACCCAAGGAAUAAGCACCGGCUAACUUCGUG
rnacentral:rRNA from 1 species